rfam:Oryza barthii chromosome 6, whole genome shotgun sequence.
UUUAAGUACAGUUGUGGUUUUUCAUCUCCAACGUUUGACCGUCCGUCUUAUUUGAAAAAUUUAGGUAUUAGUAUUUUUAUCGCUGUUAGAUGAUAAAGCAUAAAUAGUACUUUAUAUGUAACUUAUUUAUUUUAAUUUUUUAAAUAAAAUUUUUAAAGAAGACGGAUGGCAAACGUUGAACACGAAAAACCACAAGUGAACUUAAA